rnacentral:tRNA from 1 species
GCCCCCGUAGCCCAAUCGGCAGAGGCAAGCCCCUUAAAAGGGCCUCAGUGUGGGUUCGAGUCCCACCGGGGGCA